rnacentral:tRNA from 10 species
AUAACUGGGACCCAGGAAACGCAUUCCUAAGUACAAUAUUCAUGGGCUGGGCUGACACUUUUAAUUAAGGUGAUUUACACUGAAUUAUCCUUGGAAAUAAAGAAAUGGUGCACUGCCCGGGAAUAAACCAUCAUCACCAGCCGCCUUUGGCCUGGCACAGUGAGUGACAUCAAAUGAAUGAAUUAGUGGAAGGUGAAUGAAUCCUCCCUGGCCCCCCCGCUUCCUAUUCAUCAUCUCUGGUAUCAGCGGCAUCCACUCCCCAUGGCCUCCUGAGUAAUAGCACUGGGCAUGGAGCUGGACUGAAAGAACAGAGCCUGCCAGGGGCAAACAUUCUGGGGAGCGGGGAACCGGACACAGCAGAGAAUCACCCAAGUUUAGUUCAAUGCAAGACCUAGCCUAAAGCAGGAUGUAUUCAGGGCCCUACAUAUAAAGCCACUGUUGAGCCAUGAGAGCUCUGAGGAAGCAUGGGGCUCCUGCAGGCUGGGAAAGUACCACUGAGAGGAAGCCCCGUGAAGGAUGGAGAAUACUGAGAUCAUGGAGAGCACAGGACCACAAGCUUGGGAGCAGGGGGACACAGUAGUAGCAAAGUUGGAUGGAGGAAGGAUUUCAGCCCCUCCCCGGACUUUCCUUGCCCAGCAGGGCUUGGGCUGCCCAGCUCACCAAAGGGCCUCAUAUGAGUGAUUGCCUGGAAGGCUGGUCCUUCUAACAUGCUGAGUGGAUGAGCUGGGAUGUCCUAAACCACACCUGUGAAUCCUGGUACCAGCCUGCUCCUUGGCUCAGGGAUCAUCACAGAAAACGCAUGCUCUGAAGACCAUACCUGGGCCAGCAUCCGCACUGCCACAGAACCACACACAUCAGCCCCACUGUGCCCUGUCCAUCCCCAUAUCUGGCUUUGCCUUGGGCCCAUGACCUUCACCCAUUUUUCCUGUAGCGUUUUGCAUCUUAAUUUGCACCAGGGUCCAGAGCCUGCUCACCUCCCGUGCAGCCUUAACUUAAACCAGCUGAUUGUGUGCACCCCUUCUCCCUGCCUCAUACCCCCAGACCACGAGCACCUUGAGUCAAGGAAUCAUCAUAUUCUUUGUAGUCCCAGCUUAGGUGUUGUUUAUAAACAUAUAUUAAAUUAACUAUUGGUAGAGACAGAAAUAUAAGACACAAGGGAUGAGGAUUUUGCCUCCUUAAGCCAGUUUUUCCAUGUAAAAUGGAGACAGUAAUUCCUAUGACCUGGGAAUCCUGUGAAACCUAAGUGAGGUCAAGACUGUUAUGACUCCACCUUUAGGAGGUGGAUAUUCCUUUUUUUUUUUUUUUUUGAGAUGCAGUCUCGCUCUGUCACCCAGGCUGGAGUGCAGUGGCAUGAUCUCAGCUCACUGCAAGCUCCUCCUCCUGGGUUCACGCCAUUCUCCCGCCUCAGCCUCCCGAGUAGCUGGGACUACAGGCGCCCGUCACCACGCUUGGCUAAUUUUUCGUAUUUUUAGUAGAGACGGGGUUUCACCAUGUUAGCCAGGAUGGUCUCGAUCUCCUGACCUCAUGAUCCGCCCACCUCGGCCUCCCAAAGUGCUGGGAUUACAGGCGUGAGCCACCACGCCCGGCCAGGAGGUGGAUAUUCUUGUUAUACCUAUUUCACAGAUAAGAACACUGGGGCUCAGGGAAACAUGGUGACUUGCCGAAGGUCACACAGCUGGGAAAUGGAGGGUUGGGAUUCAAAUGAAUGCUUCUGGCACUGUCUCACUGUAUAGCUUCCUGGGGAAAGUGAAGUUUGGUGGGAGGUGUAAGUCAUGUCUAGAAGACAGAUAUGGCUUUUCAUCUGACCAGUGGGUUUAAAGUUCAACCUGCAGCACACAGCUGAGCAGGCAAGUCAGAAAGGAGAAAUAGUGGGAAGGGGCAUGCCCUGGAGCCAGGGGGCCCCUCAGAGAGAAGACACAGCCUUGUCCUGGGAAGCCUGAUAAAUUCUAGGAGAGGAGGCAGGCCUCAGGCACAUGACAGGCAGGGUGAGGGUUGGUGGAGAAGUACUUCAUGGCAGGAGAGGCCUGAGAUGGCAGAGUCUGAAGGUGGGAGAGCCACUAGAAACUGAUGGCAGGAAGAAGUCCACCCCAGCCUCGGUAGUCAUGACCUGAACCCCAGGUAGGGUUGGGGUUUGGUCACCUGCCACCCUCCUCACACCUGUGCUGGGGCCCUGCUCAUAGCCAGCCCUAAGCUCCAGCCACCUCUGCCCCCUGGCCCAGCAGUCGGCCCAGCUGGCUCACCUUCUCAAUCAAUACUGUGCUCUUAAUGGGCCCAGCUACCAGCACCAACCAGGGGCAUUAAAUGUUAAUUAUAUCUAUUUGGAUUUGAAAAAUUUUAUUACUCGAGUUAAUUAUGGUUGGAGUCAUAAAAAGGUUUCAGAGUGAAAGGACUGCCUUAUUGGGGCCACUUUCCCCAAGACAGAUUGGAAAGGCAAAGAAGAAAUAAAAUCAUCUGGCUUAGAGGGCGGCUACUCCACAUCCACCAGGCUGAGCGUGCUGGGCUAAGGACUCUGAAGCCUCCAAGGGAAAGGCCUGAAGAGCAGCUCGCCUACUGGCCGUGCUGGUGCCCGGGAUGCAGGACAGGCCUGUCUUGGCAGGGCAGGUCUGCCGCUUGGCAGCCCCAGCAGGAGAGAUGCGGUCAAGUAGAGAAGGGCUCCCUGCCAGCGAGCCUCCAUGGGAGCUGCCGUCCUGCUGAGAACAGCCCGGCUCCCAGAGAUCAGGAUUGCAGGAUAUGCCCAGGGCUCCUCUUCAAGUGGUCCAAAUACUGGGACCUUCUCUUGCCCAGCUCUACCCAGCCCUGCCUGAUUGCUUCCUGCCAGCGCCGCUUAUGAUUCAUGGGCCUGACCUUGGGCUAUAAGGUGUUCACUCUAGCGGGUACAGAGGCAGGAUUUAUGGCCUCGGGGUCAGCUGUAGGCAAUGACACAGGCAAUAGCUGACUCACAAGGGUGCCCCAUCCCCAGCCCACACAUAACUCUCCCUUGCACACACAGGUACACACACACAUCUGGACAUAGCCGCAAAUGCACAUUCAUGCCAGGAGCUAUCUCACGCACGCAUCUGGUAAUGGGAGUUCAUUUGUGGAGCAAGCACUGUGUCUAAGGUGCUUUACAAGCAUUUGUCUAAUCCUUAACACUGCCCCUGUAAGGCCGGUCCAAGCCAGAGCUACUCAUUUUACAGAAGAGGAAACAAAGGCUCAAGCAGGUUAAGUUAUCGGAACACAUGUGCCCUAGAAGAGAACCAGCCCUACAGAGAACCCUGAUGCCUGUCUGUUGGCCAGGGAAACUAAUACCACCAGAGAGCUAGACUACAGCAGCCUGCGGGGCAAGAGAGACCAUUCCACCCCCUCCCUCUUCCCUGUCAAAGGAGCCGAGGCCAGCACAGAGGGGGCGGGAAUGUUCCCCAUCUCUUUCCACCCCCUCCUUGCCACAAGGUGAUGAAGAGAAGGGGAAAAAUGCCUUAAAGAAGAUACAACAGUGGCCGGGCGUGGUGGCUCAUGCCUGUAAUCCCAGCAAUUUGGGAGGCUGAGGUGGGCAGAUCACCUGAGGUCAGGAGUUUGAGACCAGCCUGGCCAACAUGGUGAAACCUGUCUUCACUAAAAAUAUAAAAAUUAGCCAGGCGUGGUGGCGGGUGCCUGUAAUCCCAGCUAGUAGGGAGGCUGAGGCAGGAGAAUGACUUGAACCUGGGAGGCAGAGGUUGCCGUGAGCCGAGAUUGUGCCACUGCACUCUAGCUUGGGUGACAGAACAAGACUCCGUCUCAAAAAAAAAAAAAAAAAAAAGGAAGAAGAAGAGAAGAAGAUACAAUAGUGGAAUUUCAAACUGCACCAACUUUAAAAAAAACAGAAGGAACUGGGAAUUAGGGGGAAUUUGCCCAUGUUGUUAAGGGAUCAACUGCCCAUCCAAGGGCAGUUGAGGUGUCUCCGGUAGAGACUGGAGGGGGACAAUAUUUCAUAUAUAAACUUUUAAUUAUCAUUGUUAUGAUGCGGUUACUGAGAACCCCAUGUAAAAGGAGUUAGCCACUUCUCUCUUCAGCUUAAUAUCCAUUGCCUCCACUUGAUUUUCCAUCUUCCCUCAAUUUUCAGAACUUUUGUCUUUUCUCCAAAACCAGUGCCUACUGUCCCUUAGAGCCACUUCUCUCCAUCCUCAGCAGGGACCUUGCCCUUGCGAUAUUCCUCUCGCUCUUGCAUUUUUGCCACGAGAGCGGUCCUUUCUCCUCUGUCUUCUACGUUGUGUGUAACUGUCUCCUAAAAGGGCCAACCCUUCCCUGGACCUUGCCGCUUCCUCUAUCUCCUUCCUUUCUUCUGUCUUCUAGUCUGCCUCCUGGAACAAGGACCUGUGCCUGUCGCCUCAUUUCCUUCCCCACCGUCUGGGAUGGAGCUCUUAUCGCUGUCCUGGUGUCAUCCGCAGCAGCUCCCUGGGUCCCUGGAGCUGUGACCCCCUCCUCAGGCAUCUGGGGCUCUUCCUCAGCGCUCCUGUCCUCCUUUCCACACCACCCUCUAUCCUUACCUUGUCCCUCAUGCCUCUUCCACUGACCUGAUCCGGGGACCUUGUCACUGCUGUGCCCUUUGCUCUUAGAGAAUUUAUCUUUUUACCCUCUUGAACGUCAACUUUCCAGGACUCCCAAACCUGCCUCCAAUUUGAUGUCUCUCCUGAAUGCCCACACCGAAUUGUCAACUGCCCAAAGGACAUGUCCAUUUGGACUCUCCAUUGUCACCUCCAGUGAAACAUGUUAAGUCAGAAAUAAUUAUCUUCUCUUCAAAACAGCUCCCUUUCCACCACCUCAUUUCUUCCCAUUAAAUAACUACCUAGACUCCCCAAACACAGAACUACUGAUUAAAUUAUUACAUUAAACAAAUGUUUUCCAGGUAACUACCCUAUGCAAAGCCCAAAUAGCACAGGGCAAUGGGGGUGGAGGUGGGAGGCAGGAAGAACAGGGAGGCAGCCUGAUGACAACAGAGAGUGAAGGUUUUGGAGUCAGGUAGAUUCGGGUCUACAGCCUGGUCUGCUGCUUGCCAGGGUAUAAUGUUAGGCAAAUUACCUAAACCAAACAUAGCCAGAGCACCUGCUGUGCACCAUGCUCUGACCUAAAGGUCAGACAAUCUCACAACAAUCUUCCCAACGGUGCUAUGAUUAUCCCAUUUUAGAGAUGAGAAAAAGAGAGAGGUUAAGGAACUUGCCCAAGGUCACACAGCAGAGCCAAGGUAUGAACCUAGGUGGAGGCUGUGCUUAUGGUCACUGUGCUAUAUUUAACUUCUCGUGGUCUCUGCUUUGUUCUGUUUUGCUCACUCUUGUGUCACCAGCCCCUAGGAUCCCACUAAAUAUCUGCUGAGUAAGAGAUGACAAACAAAUGACUGAAAUGCAUCUAUUGGAUUUGAUAGUUUGAAGUUGUUGCUGACCUUGGCAAAAGCAGGGUCAAGGGAGAGGUAGGGACUUAGGUAGAACAGCCAUGGUUAACGGAGUGAAUGGGAGGGAAGCAGUGCAGACAGAUGUCAGGCAUGACACUGUUCCAGAAGUUGGAGGGAGGAGAGAGAGGGAUUGCCGUUGUCUUAGGAAGCACAGGGUCUGGAUUUUCUUUUUGGUGUAUGAAAGAGAGUUGGAGCUCCAGGACAGAGGAUCACUGCUGGAGCCAGGCUUCAGACGGACAUGAGGAAAUGGGAUCCCAAGUGCUAGCAGAGGGAACAGUUCCUGCUAGUGAGGGACAUUAGUCUACUGGAGAGAUAGAUGGGUUAAACAGACCUGGGGACGAGAGGCACUAGAGGAAACCCACGGGGCCUGGGGAGUCAGGAGACGGGAGAUGACAUCUUAAUACCAUCUUUGUCAGGAGAGCCAGGUGACCUGGUGGGUAGACAUUUGGGCUUCUCUCCUCUGCCUUUCCCUAGGAUGCAUGGUGACAGCUCAGGCAACUGGAUUAGAAAUGCUACUUCUGGGCUGGGCGUGGUGGCUCACGCCUGUAAUCCCAGCACUUUG